UCACCUUGAAACACCGGUUUCCGUAUGAUAACGGAAGUUAAGCAACAUCGCGCCUGGUUAGUACCUACAUGGGUAACCGCUUGGGAAUACUAGGUACUGCAAG